UACAGAGGGGGCAAGCGUUAUUCGGAAUUAUUGGGCGUAAAGGGCGCGUAGGCGGCCUGGCAAGUGGAAGGUGAAAUCCCUCGGCUUAACCGAGGAACUGCCCUCCAAACUGCUUGGCUUGAGACCGGGAGAGGUGAGUGGAAUUCCCAGUGUAGCGGUGAAAUGCGCAGAUAUCAGGAGGAACACCGGUGGCGAAGGCGGUUCUCUGGGCCAUUACUGACGCUGAGGAGCGAAAGCGUGGGGAGCGAACAGG
rnacentral:rRNA from 1 species